UAUGGUGACACACCUGCUCCACAGCAGUGGUUCUUCACAGAUGACCAGACACUACCAACAGGGACCGAGGCCAAAAGAGCCCAGUAGUAUCUGUCUAAACACUGAUACAGCUCUCCCAGAGCUUCCUCCUGUCAUCCAAAGACAUUACUGCGCGAACAAACACUGGCCCAUCCAUCUGUGGGUGACAUGUCGCAGACAGAUGCAGCUCAGUGACUGAAGAUGAAUGGAUAUUUGUGCAUGGACGACCAAGCUGCUCUGGUGUCUCAUAAUCCUCUGAACAUGGACGUCUGCAGUCAAGAUGCUCGUCAUCGUCCCCACAUAAUGAGCUCCAUGUGAUUAUCACGGAUGAUGUGAGCUGUCAGAUCUACACUCUCAUUGUCUCACCAUGAAUCUGGAGCUUCCACUAGAUCAAGUUAUGGCUGCUGAUUUCAAUUCUUGGUUUGUGGGGAUUGAUCACUAUCCUGCUCACCGACUGUCAAAGCAGAGGUGGCCCUGGUUCUGAACAGCAAGGAAAACUACCCGUUUCACACAGACUCUUACACAGAAGGAGAUUUUUUCCAUCCAUAUGUAAAUGGACAGAUACAUCUAACUAGUCUCUGUUUGACUACUGUCACUGCAAAAUUAUAAAUUUCUGAUGUCUCAAUAUUAUUACAGUUCUUUUAAAUAUAAGUAACCAUACAGGGAGUAAGAGAUUCCUUUGGAUUUUUUUGGAGCUAAAACAGAAAUGUUUUUUUCCUGUAUCCUGCUGUUACAGUUUUAAUUGGUUAGCAACACAGAUGUGAGCUUAUUUAGAAAUAAUAGGUUUGGGGUAUGGCAAUGAAGUACAAUGUUAUUGAGCGAUGACUGUGUUAGUCACAAGGAUGACGGAUCCUUUUAACAUGCAAAUGACUGUGAAAAAAAAGCAGCCUAAAGGGAAAAGGUAGAAUCAUAUCCGCAUCGUUGUCAUAUUUCCAAUUCAAGCAACUAUGAAUCUGCUUAAUUUGUGUGUAUCUUAUAUAUACAGGUACUGCAUAUCACAAGAGCAUAUGACGUACAACAUGUUUGAAGAUGUCACUCAGACAACACGCUGCUUGUGUUGUUCACGUAUUAAAAAGAGCAAGCAAUCUGCCUCCACUGGUGCUCGGAGGAUAACUCACUCCAUCAAUUCUUUGGACUAAUCACAAGGUACAAUGAAUAAAUGAUUUA